rnacentral:rRNA from 1 species
UACAGAGGUCCCAAGCGUUGUUCGGAUUUACUGGGCGUAAAGGGUGCGUAGGUGGCGAGGUAAGUUCGAUGUGAAAUCUCCGAGCUCAACUCGGAAAUGGCAUUGAAUACUAUCCCGCUUGAGGGUCGGAGGGGAGACUGGAAUUCUCGGUGUAGCGGUGAAAUGCGUAGAUAUCUGGAGGAACACCGGUGGCGAAGGCGGCAUCCUGGACCAACACUGACGCUGAGGAGCGAAAGCCAGGGGAGCAAACGGG